rnacentral:rRNA from 1 species
UAGGGAAUCUUCCACAAUGGACGCAAGUCUGAUGGAGCAACGCCGCGUGAGUGAAGAAGGUUUUCGGAUCGUAAAGCUCUGUUGUUGGUGAAGAAGGAUAGAGGUAGUAACUGGCCUUUAUUUGACGGUAAUCAACCAGAAAGUCACGGCUAACUACUUGCCAGCAGCCGCGGUAAUACGUAGGUGGCAAGCGUUGUCCGGAUUUAUUGGGCUUAAAGCGAGCGCAGGCGGAAGAAUAAGUCUGAUGUGAAAGCCCUCGGCUUAACCGAGGAACUGCAUCGGAAACUGUUUUUCGUGAGUGCAGAAGAGGAGAGUGGAAUUCCAUGUGUAGCGGUGGAAUGCGUAGAUAUAUGGAAGAACACCAGUGGAGAAGGCGACUCUCUGGUCUGCAACUGACGCUGAGGCUCGAAAGCAUGGGUAGCGAACAGG